GUUUUCGUGGUGUAGUGGUUAUCACAUCCGCCUAACGCGCGGAAGGUCCCCGGUUCGAUCCCGGGCGAAAACA
rnacentral:tRNA from 1 species